UACAGAGGUCUCGAGCGUUAGGCGGAAUCACUGGGCUUAAAGCGUGUGUAGGCGGAUCGUUAAGUACCUUGUGAAAUCCCACGGCUUAACCGUGGAAUUGCUGGGUAUACUGGCGGUCUUGAGCCACUUAGGGGCUACCGGAACAAAUGGUGGAGCGGUGAAAUGCGUAGAUAUCGCUUGGAACGCCAAAGGUGAAAACAGACAGCUGGGAGUGUGCUGACGCUGAGACACGAAAGCCAGGGGAGCGAACGGG
rnacentral:rRNA from 1 species